rnacentral:rRNA from 1 species
GAUGAACGCUGGCGGCGUGCCUAAUACAUGCAAGUCGAGCGAACGGACGAGAAGCUUGCUUCUCUGAUGUUAGCGGCGGACGGGUGAGUAACACGUGGAUAACCUACCUAUAAGACUGGGAUAACUUCGGGAAACCGGAGCUAAUACCGGAUAAUAUUUUGAACCGCAUGGUUCAAAAGUGAAAGACGGUCUUGCUGUCACUUAUAGAUGGAUCCGCGCUGCAUUAGCUAGUUGGUAAGGUAACGGCUUACCAAGGCAACGAUGCAUAGCCGACCUGAGAGGGUGAUCGGCCACACUGGAACUGAGACACGGUCCCAGACUCCUACGGGAGGCAGCAGUAGGGAAUCUUCCGCAAUGGGCGAAAGCCUGACGGAGCAACGCCGCGUGAGUGAUGAAGGUCUUCCGAUCGUAAAACUCUGUUAUUAGGGGAAGAACAUAUGUGUAAGUAACUGUGCACAUCUUGACGGUACCUAGUCAGAAAGCCACGGCUAAACUACGUGCCAGCAGCCGCGGUAAUACGUAGGGGGCAAGCGGUUAUCCCGGAAUUCUUGGGUGUAAAGCGCGCGUAGCGGUUUUUAAGUCUGAUGUGAAAGCCCACGGCUCAACCCGUGGAGGGUCAUUGGAAACUGGAAAACUUGAGUGCAGAAGAGGAAAGUGGAAUUCCAUGUGUAGCGGUGAAAUGCGCAGAGAUAUGGAGGAACACCAGUGGCGAAGGCGACUUUCUGGUCUGUAACUGACGCUGAUGUGCGAAAGCGUGGGGAUCAAACAGGAUUAGAUACCCUGGUAGUCCACGCCGUAAACGAUGAGUGCUAAGUGUUAGGGGGUUUCCGCCCCUUAGUGCUGCAGCUAACGCAUUAAGCACUCCGCCUGGGGAGUACGACCGCAAGGUUGAAACUCAAAGGAAUUGACGGGGACCCGCACAAGCGGUGGAGCAUGUGGUUUAAUUCGAAGCAACGCGAAGAACCUUACCAAAUCUUGACAUCCUUUGACAACUCUAGAGAUAGAGCCUUCCCCUUCGGGGGGGCAAAGUGACAGGUGGUGCAUGGUUGUCGUCAGCUCGUGUCGUGAGAUGUUGGGUUAAGUCCCGCAACGAGCGCAACCCUUAAGCUUAGUUGCCAUCAUUAAGUUGGGCACUCUAAGUUGACUGCCGGUGACAAACCGGAGGAAGGUGGGGAUGACGUCAAAUCAUCAUGCCCCUUAUGAUUUGGGCUACACACGUGCUACAAUGGACAAUACAAAGGGCAGCGAAACCGCGAGGUCAAGCAAAUCCCAUAAAGUUGUUCUCAGUUCGGAUUGUAGUCUGCAACUCGACUACAUGAAGCUGGAAUCGCUAGUAAUCGUAGAUCAGCAUGCUACGGUGAAUACGUUCCCGGGUCU